AGCUUGACGACGUCCUCGUGCGAAGCCUUGGAGACGUUUAUGUCGUUCACGGACAGGAUGUGGUCACCGGAGCGGAGACCCACGUAGUCCGCCGGACUUCCUUUUAGAAUGCAGUUGAGGACACAGGGGCCCUGGCCAGAGAGGGUGAACCCAUACCCUGCCCUCCCCGGGCCACCUCCACCCCCCGGAUACGCCCACCCUGGUGGGGGUGAGGAGGCGAAGGUAAGGUUGUGAGACCCCCAUGACCUCCAUGACGUCUCUUGGACGAGGUGUCCGUCUGUCUGAACAUUGUUUUGACUCUUGUUCUGUUAUUCAAUGUUAUUUAUCCAACCCUUAUGUUACCAGGUAAGUUGACUGAUGUUAUUUAUCUAACCCUUAUGUUACCAGGUAAGUUGACUGAUGUUAUUUAUCUAACCCUUAUGUUACCAGGUAAGUUGACUGAUGUUAUUUAUCCAACCCUUAUGUUACCAGGUAAGUUGACUGAUGUUAUUUAUCCAACCCUUAUGUUACCAGGUAAGUUGACUGAUGUUAUUUAUCUAACCCUUAUGUUACCAGGUAAGUUGACUGAUGUUAUUUAUCUAACCCUUAUGUUACCAGGUAAGUUGACUGAUGUUAUUUAUCCAACCCUUAUGUUACCAGGUAAGUUGACUGAUGUUAUUUAUCCAACCCUUAUGUUACCAGGUAAGUUGACUGAUGUUAUUUAUCCAACCCUUAUGUUACCAGGUAAGUUGACUGAUGUUAUUUAUCCAACCCUUAUGUUACCAGGUAAGUUGACUGAUGUUAUUUAUCUAACCCUUAUGUUACCAGGUAAGUUGACUGAGAUCAUAUUGUAAUUUGGGCCUACAACAACAACCAGGAAAGAGGAGAGUGGUUGAAAAGACUGAUGUGACUUUUGUACUCUCAGUUCCAUUCAAUGAGCUUUACUGGCAUGGUAAGUCAAUGAGAUGUAUUGUAAAAGAGAACUGUUGUUUCUUUUGAUGAGGCUUAAUCCCUCUCCUCUCCUCCCUUCUUUUUCCCUUCUUCUCUAUCCUCUCUCUCUCUCUCGUUCCACUGUCAAGGGCUGUCUGUCUCCCUCUAAGGCUUUUCCUCCCUCUCUCGUUCUAGUACUGAGGGAUUUGUCAGGAUGGUGAGAGCAUGACGUCAGCCCCUCCACUCCAACGCCAGCCCUGCCAUGCUGGUGCCACUCUCUGAGGAUGAUGUGACUUGUCACAGGUCAGGCAGGGGUCAC
rnacentral:lncRNA from 1 species